GCCAGUGUGGUGUAGUGGUUUGAGUAUUGGACUACAACUCUGGAGACCAGAGUUUGAUUCCCUGCUCGGCCA